rnacentral:rRNA from 1 species
UACGUAGGUGGCAAGCGUUGUUCGGAAUUAUUGGGCGUAAAGGGCGCGUAGGCGGUUUGUUAAGUCGGCUGUGAAAGCCCGGGGCUCAACCCCGGAGGGUCAGCCGAUACUGGCAGACUAGAGUACGGAAGAGGUAGCUGGAAUUCCCGGUGUAGCGGUGAAAUGCGCAGAUAUCAGGAAGAACACCGGUGGCGAAAGCGCUCUGCUAGGCCGCAACUGACACUGAGGGACGAAAGCUAGGGGAGCGAAUGGG